CCUCAGCUGCCCCUCAUUUGGUAAAAGGAUCUGGUCUACUCAGACUCCGCGGGAUUUCACCAGCUGCUUUCCGUUGAAGUCAGUUCUUUCUUAAACGUCCCGUCAAUGAAAGGCCUGAACACCAACAAUCUUCCUGAUUCCUACUUUGAAUUUGAGUCCAUACUACUUCAGAGUCAAUUAAAUGCUCAUUAAUGUAGGUCCCCUCAGCCUCCUUUAGGUUCUUGACCGAUCCAUCACAUUUAACCGGACAACCUGUGUAGUUGAUGGCUCACUGAAGGUACAGCAACUAUUUAAGAGGACUCAUGCAAUCGUCCAUCACUGCAACUCUGCACCCUGUAAUUUCUUUGACUUUAAGUGGUGGCAUCAUUUGGCCAGUUCUAAGAAUCCAAUCUGAACUGAAACUGUUAGAACUUGUUCCACUGAAAGUUUAUCUUUCCAUCUUAAAAAACUGACAACCUUUGAACCCUUUGAUCCUUUGAACAGUGCUUGUGCAUUAAAUCU